ACUCCUACGGGAGGCAGCAGUGGGGAAUAUUGCACAAUGGGCGCAAGCCUGAUGCAGCCAUGCCGCGUGUAUGAAGAAGGCCUUCGGUUGUAAAGUACUUUCAGCAGUGAGGAAGGUGGGUAUGUUAAUAGCAUACUCAUUUGACGUUAGCUGCAGAAGAAGCACCGGCUAACUCCGUGCCAGCAGCCGCGGUAAUACGGAGGGUGCGAGCGUUAAUCGGAAUUACUGGGCGUAAAGCGCAUGCAGGUGGUUUGUUAAGUCAGAUGUGAAAGCCCGGGGCGUCAACCUCGGAAUUGCAUUUGAAACUGGCAAACUAGAGUACUGUAGAGGGGGUAGAAUUUCAGGUGUAGCGGUGAAAUGCGUAGAGAUCUGAAGGAAUACCGGUGGCGAAGGCGGCCCCCUGGACAGAUACUGACACUCAGAUGC
rnacentral:rRNA from 1 species